GGCUUAGCUCAGCUGGGAGAGCGCCUGCUUUGCACGCAGGAGGUCAGCGGUUCGAUCCCGCUAGUCUCCACCA
rnacentral:tRNA from 2 species